GAGACAGCAGUAGCCGCGGGAAUACGUAGGGGGCAAGCGUUAUCCGGAAUUAUUGGGCGUAAAGAGUGCGUAGGUGGUCUACUAAGCGCGAGGUGAAAGGCAAUGGCUCAACCAUUGUUAGCCUUGCGAACUGGCGGACUUGAGUGCAAGAGAGGAAAGCGGAAUUCCUAGUGUAGCGGUGAAAUGCGCAGAUAUUAGGUGGAACACCGGCGGCGAAGGCGGCUUUCUGGAUUGUAACUGACACUGAGGCACGAAAGCGUGGGUAGCAAACAGGAUUAGAUACCCCAGUAGUCCCUGUCUCUUAUACA
rnacentral:rRNA from 1 species